CCCUUAGAGUUUGAUCCUGGCUCAUAAUGAACGCUGGCGGCGUGCUUUACACAUGCAAGUCGAGCGAGGCGGCCCGCAAGGGCCAGUCGAGCGGCGAACGGGUGAGUAACACGUGGAUCAUCUGCCCAGAGGUGGGGGAUAACCCGGGGAAACUCGGGCUAAUACCGCAUAUGACCGGAAGGUCAAAGGGGGGUCGCAAGAUCUCUCGCCAUUGGAGGAGUCCGCGUCCGAUUAGCUAGUUGGUAGGGUAAUGGCCUACCAAGGCGACGAUCGGUAGCCGGCCUGAGAGGGUGAUCGGCCACACUGGAACUGAGACACGGUCCAGACUCCUACGGGAGGCAGCAGUGGGGAAUUUUGCGCAAUGGGCUAACGCCUGACGCAGCAACGCCGCGUGGAGGAUGAAGGUCUUUGGAUUGUAAACUCCUGUCAGCAGGGAAAAAGCGACUCGUGCUCAUACCACGGGGAGUUGAUUGUACCUGCAGAGGAAGCCCCGGCUAACUCUGUGCCAGCAGCCGCGGUAAUACAGAGGGGGCAAGCGUUAUUCGGAAUUAUUGGGCGUAAAGGGCGCGUAGGCGGCCUGGCAAGUGGAAGGUGAAAUCCCUCGGCUUAACCGAGGAACUGCCUUCCAUACUGCUUGGCUUGAGACCAGGAGAGGUGAGUGGAAUUCCCAGUGUAGCGGUGAAAUGCGUAGAUAUUGGGAGGAACACAGUGGCGAAAGCGGCUCACUGGACUGGUACUGACGCUGAGCGCGAAAGCGUGGGGAGCAAACGGGAUAGAUACCCCGGUAGUCCACGCCGUAAACGAUGAGUGCUUGGUGUAGCGGGUAUCGAC
rnacentral:rRNA from 1 species